AUUCACCCUAUUUUGAAAAAUUGCGCCGUUUGCGGCGUUGCCUAGUUUUCAACAUCAUGUUUUGUAUUGUAUGACUCGACCAGUGAGUGGCAGUGGCUGUGAGUGGGAGAGAGCGGGAGAUAGACUCGGCCGAUUAGACGUUGGAAAUAAUGGGUGCAUUUGUUUUUCGUCGAACAAAUUAAACAUUGUUAAUGUGCAGCUAGGUGGGUUGUUGUUUCUCUCCCUUGUAUAACUACCUUUUUUCGCCCAAUUGUUAAUCUAAUUCUUUUGGAACGUUCGGAUGUCGCCCAAAAACAAGUGGAAGGCCAUUCGAGGCGUUAUGCCUUUUCCUGAAACUGAAUAUUCAGAAAAUGUGGUAUAUGUUCGCGCAUUGUUAAGAUCUAUUCAGAUUAGUACCAUAAAGUAUGACUGUAGGAAAAAGUACGCAGGCUUCUAAAAUUGAAGAACAGCUCCGACGUCUUAUUGGUAAGCGGAAAAGGUACUGCAAAGGGAAGCGUCACAUGACAGUUGCAAGAAUGUACUCUUUCGUUUGCUUUGCCCAAUGAAUCUGUGCUUGGAACUGGUAGGUGGCGUUUAGCAGUGGCACCCAAUCUUUAUUUUUUAAACCCAGAAGUGUUCUUCACUUUCAGGGGGAUUGAUUGAUGAUACUUGUUGGUUAAACCAUGUAGAAUACCAUUACAUGAAUAAGUGGAGGGUUAUAAAAGUAUAAAACUAAUUCCUCGUGGCAUUUUCAUUCACGCAUGCGCAGCAGAUGGUGAGCAGACGAAUCAUUGAAAGAGCCUGGCCCAGUCUGGCUGCAUCAAGCCAGAUUCUAGUAGAACGAGAAACAUUGUUUUGACAAGUUCUGUCAUAUUUCGGUUGGAGGUUUUCAUUAAAUACCAAGAGGAAAAACUAGAUGGCGUUCGUCCACUUUGAUAAAGAUCCCGAAUGACAAGUAAAAUGCGUGUUGGUAUCGUAAUGUACUAGGGGCCCUCACUCCGUUGGGAAAUCGACACCUGCUACCUUCGACACUAGCUACCUGGGGGGUCGACACUGGCUACCCCGACACUGGCUACCCGACACUGGCUACCCAUAAGACCGACACUGGCUACCCCGACACUGGCUACCCGACACCGGCUACCUAUAGAGGGUGACACCUGCUACCUAUAGUUGGCGACACUGGCUACCUUUCUUUUCUUUUUUUACCCCUUCAAAAUUACCUAUAAUGGCCACCUGUCCAACUCAAUGUAAGAAACAUUCGUUUACUUGCAUUAACUAAAUAGUCCAAUGAAAAGACCCCCCACCCUCCGUCGAUUCUAAGCCCUCGGCUUGUAUAAAAAAAUGAUUGCUUUUCGAAUGUUUGGCAAAUAUACGCGAAUGUAAUCAAA